AAUGAAAGCUGGCGGCAGGCCUAACACAUGCAAGUCGAACGAUUGGCGGAGGGGUGAGUAAUGUCUGGGACACUGCCUGAUGGAGGGGGAUAACUACUGGAAACGGUAGCUAAUACCGCAUACCAUCAGAUGUGCCCAGAUGGGAUUAGCUUGUUGGUGGGGUAACGGCUCACCAAGGCGAAGAUCCCUAGCUGGUCUGAGAGGAUGACCAGCCACACUGGAACGGAGACACGGUCCAGACUCCUACGGUGGGAAGAGUUGGGGAAUAUUGCACAAUGUGCGCAAGCCUGAUGCAGCAAGGCCGCGGGUAGGAAGAAGGCCUUCGGGUUGUAAAGUACGUUCAGAGGGGAGGCGUUACCCGCAGAAGAAGCACCGGCUAACUCCGUGCCAGCAGCCGCGGUAAUAC
rnacentral:rRNA from 1 species